GAUGAACGCUGGCGGCGUGCCUAAUACAUGCAAGUCGAGCGAACAGACGAGGAGCUUGCUCCUUUGACGUUAGCGGCGGACGGGUGAGUAACACGUGGGUAACCUACCUAUAAGACUGGGAUAACUUCGGGAAACCGGAGCUAAUACCGGAUAAUAUUUCGAACCGCACGGUUCGAUAGUGAAAGAUGGCUCUGCUAUCACUUAUAGAUGGACCUGCGCCGUAUUAGCUAGUUGGUAAGGUAACGGCUUACCAAGGCAACGAUACGUAGCCGACCUGAGAGGGUGAUCGGCCACACUGGAACUGAGCCACGGUCCAGACUCCUAAGGGAGGCAGCAGUAGGGAAUCUUCCGCAAUGGGCGAAAGCCUGACGGAGCAACGCCGCGUGAGUGAUGAAGGUCUUCGGAUCGUAAAACUCUGUUAUUAGGGAAGAACAAACGUGUAAGUAACUGUGCACGUCUUGACGGUACCUAAUCAGAAAGCCACGGCUAACUACGUG
rnacentral:rRNA from 1 species